rnacentral:rRNA from 1 species
GUCUAUGGCCAUGCCACCUUGAAUGUGCCCGAUCUUGUCUGAUCUCGGAAGUUAAGCAGAGUCAGGCCUGGUUAGUACUUGGAUGGGAGACCACCUUGGAAUAGCAGGUGCCGUAGGCA